rnacentral:rRNA from 1 species
UACGUAGGGUGCAAGCGUUUAAUCGGAAUUACUGGGCGUAAAGCGUGCGCAGGCGGUGAUGUAAGACAGAUGUGAAAUCCCCGGGCUCAACCUGGGAACUGCAUUUGUGACUGCAUCGCUGGAGUGCGGCAGAGGGGGAUGGAAUUCCGCGUGUAGCAGUGAAAUGCGUAGAUAUGCGGAGGAACACCGAUGGCGAAGGCAAUCCCCUGGGCCAAUAUUGACGCUGAGGUGCGAAAGCGUGGGGAGCAAACAGG